UUUUUAUAUUUGCAACGUAAUUAUUAGGAAAGGAUAGGAAAAAUAUUUUAUACGUUUACGAUGGCUGGAGAGAGGAAUCCCAUAAAAUACAAUCGGAUAAGAAAAUCUAAUUGAUUGAAAGGAACAUUUUUGAAAGAUUAAAAUAAAAACAUUCUGAUAUACAUCUAUCAACGUUUGGUCCGGCGAAAACUCAAAAGGAAUACCCAACAAAUUUCCUGGCUCUAUUCCAAAACUCGAGUAACGUGACUGAUUCUCUUGUUUGCAUCAGAAACUUGUGAAGGGGUGGUGAUCGGUGGUAGUACAAUGAGAGAACUCCUCAACUAUCACGUAAUUAUUCUUCUAAUCUUCCUCGAGUCGAUCGUUCUUUCUAUUGUUACAGCGAAAAAGAUAAAUCAAGAAAGGGGGAAUCGUUCUAAGAACAUCUGGAAAAUGAAAUUGAAAUGUUAAUGGAUUGAGUUACGAUAUACAAAGGCAAUACAUUCAAAGAUCGUAAAUGACUACACGAUAUGAACCACCUGAUCACUAUCAUAUAUUGACGAAAGAGGAUAUACGAAGAAGAUAUCAAGAUACGGCAUUAGUUAUAUUUAAAGAACAACAGAACAAGAAAGACGAGGUGAACUAUUUGAGUUUUGGUACAAGUCGUAGGACUAUGGAGUACAGUAAUUAUGGAAAUCAGCCGGUAAUAAUUCGUAGGCCUCACGAAGCUUCGAAUGUUGUAAAUGAUACUUUGCCUAUGAGAAUUUUGAGAAUGUAUCGUAAGCCUCGUGAAAAUUGUUCUAUAGCUUAAAUGAUGUUAAAAAUUAAUUAAUAAAUAUAUAUUCGUUAAUUAACUUA